AAAAAGUUCAAACAAAAUAUCAAAACAUCCGAAACAAAAAAAAUACUUAUUUACUCCGUGAGUUAUCCCAAUAAGCAAAACGCGCUGUCACAAAGGGGGGGAAAAAGCAGAAAUAAAUCUGUGAGGAGCGAGAAGAAAGGAGGAAAAAAAACGAGGGACUAAAGCUGGGCUCUCCAUGUGAAGGCUGCACCGUCCUCUCACAUUCCAGCGCGUCGCAAAAAAGGGGAUUUAGAGCGACUUAUUUCCUUAAAACUGUCCUCCCAUCCACACAGGCAGCCAGUCUGCUGCCAUCAGCUCCGUACAGGCCCAGCUGCACCCAAACCCACACGCACGAUUUCCAGGUGGAGCGACCAAGAGGCACCUGCACUGUACGUCCACAGAUACAGGAGGAUAAAAAACAAUAAGAGAAAAAAAUCACUCAUUCCAGCUGAAACGAAGAUGUGAAAGAAGAAAAAGGGCUUCUUUAAAUGAAGAGCCGAGCUGAUGUGAUGGCAGCAGAGGAAAACUUUGUCUAGAUGAGGACACACGUGAGGAGUUCGCCAACAAACAAACGGAUGCAAUUAAACACACUCAGAUCAUCUACGAGGAAGGAAAGUCAAGACUGGUGGGAAGGCGACAAGGACGAAUAAGGCGAGAGAAGACCUUUGUAACUCAAGGUUAACACUGAUUGAGUGAGCGUCACAAUCUGGAUCAUUUUUCUACGAAGAAACAUCACUCACUGGUUUUUCUGUUACAUGUGCUCUUUGUAGAACUUCUCAGAGCUGUUCUAUUUUUGUGUUGUCACUGAAAUGUUAAGUUAUUUUGUUGUCACAUUUCUCUUGUCAUCCAAUGUAUUGUACUUAAUUAAAGAUUAAUUUGCAAAUAAAGACAUUUCUGUUGCCCUA